GUGUCAGCAGCCGCGGUAAUACGUAGGGCGCAAGCGUUGUCCGGAAUUAUUGGGCGUAAAGAGCUCGUAGGCGGUUUGUCGCGUCUGCUGUGAAAACCCGAGGCUCAACCUCGGGCCUGCAGUGGGUACGGGCAGACUAGAGUGUGGUAGGGGAGACUGGAAUUCCUGGUGUAGCGGUGGAAUGCGCAGAUAUCAGGAGGAACACCAAUGGCGAAGGCAGGUCUCUGGGCCACAACUGACGCUGAGGAGCGAAAGCGUGGGGAGCGAACAGGAUUAGAAACCCUGGUAGUCC
rnacentral:rRNA from 1 species